rnacentral:rRNA from 1 species
UACGGUGGGAGCAAGCGUUGUUCGGAUUUACCGGGCGUAAAGGGCGCGUAGGCGGUCGUGACAAGUCACUUGUGAAAUCUCCGGGCUUAACUCGGAACGGUCAAGUGAUACUGUCGGACUAGAGUACAGAAGGGGCAACUGGAAUUCUCGGUGUAGCGGUGAAAUGCGUAGAUAUCGAGAGGAACACCUGCGGCGAAGGCGGGUUGCUGGGCUGAUACUGACGCUGAGGAACGAAAGCCAGGGGAGCGAACGGG